GCUUUGGCUCUUUUAAGAGCCAAAACACAUAAUGAAUAGGAGAACC
rfam:Sus scrofa isolate TJ Tabasco breed Duroc chromosome 13, whole genome shotgun sequence.